rnacentral:lncRNA from 15 species
CUUGAAGCUCAUGACACUUCCACAGGUAUUCAAAAAAUUCAAAUUCAAAUUCAAAAUGACUUUAUUUAUCCCAGAGGGGAAAUUCAACUAGUCUGUUAGCUCUUCUGUAAAUUAUUGAAGAAUUAGACAGCCUGAUGGCUGUAGGAGCGAAGGAUCUUAGAGGAGCCAUCCACUGCUGUUUUUAUGGUCCAUUUAUUUCUUAAACUGUUCUGUUACAUGCUGUAGUCAAUACAACUGACUUCACUGGCAUAUCCUCAGUGACAUUCAGAUAUCCUAUCUUUCUUGUUCCAGGGCAAGGAGCUCUUCACCACUAUGCUUGAGGACUGUGUAAGUUCACCAGCUGGCAUUGACACUGAUGCACUGGCCCCUUGCACACAUGAGGAAGCCGAUACACGGAUUUUCCUGCAUGUGGCUGCCGCUACUGUUGCUGGACAUCGUCGAGUGAUUGUCCGCAGCAGUGAUAGUGAUGUUGUUGUACUGGCCAUUGCCACCUUUGUCGACCUUGGACAGAAGAUCGACAAACUCUGGAUUGCCUUUGGUGUACGGCGCCACUUCAGGUACAUUCCAGCACAUGCCAUUGCUCACAGUCUUGGACCAUCCAAGGCAAUGGCACUGCCAGCAUUUCAUGCCCUAACGGGGUGUGACACUACCUCUGCAUUCUUUGGCAAAGGCAAGAAAACAGCCUGGUCUGUGUGGCAGUCCCUGCCUGAGCUCACCUUACCACUUCAGCUGCUCUCUGGCCCAACCCCCACCACUGAGAUGAUCAGAACCCACACACCCACCCUCCAGAGAUUUGUCCUGAUGCUCUAUGGUGUAUCUGAGGACAACAUCACAACUCUUCUUCCACAAAGGAAAAGACUUUGACCACAUGCCACCAAGCAGUGAUGCACUCCAUCAGCACCUCCUUCGAGUAGCUUAUCAGGUAAGACAACUUUGCAUAGGGGCAUAAUAUAAACAUGGCUAAGAAUAAUGAAGGGCCUUUGUAUCACUAAUCAUGUUUCUCUCUAGAGUGGACAUGUAUGGGGCAAUACACUUGUCAAAGACCAUGCAACAGUAUCGCCGUCUCUAUGGGGAUGGUAGCAGGAUUCCCCAGACUCUCCACCAACUCCUGUCUACACUACAACUGCCACUGUUUCAAAGGACUUGCCAGAACUUGUCAUUUGCAAGUGUAAGACUGACUGUAAGGCACCUUGCAAAUGCUGCAUGCAGAGGCUGCCUUGCAUGUCUCUCUGUGGAUGUCGUGGCUCAUGUUCCCACAGUGGUGCAGACAUCUAAAUAGAAAAUCAUCUUAGUGAUGUAUUUACACUAAACUAUUAGGCUUCAUCACUAGAACAUUGUAGGUAUGGCAUUGCCUACUUCUAAACUGUGAACAUAGUUAUGAACUUCUUGUCUCACUAAUCAGUUCCUUUGCAUCAAUAAUACACAUAUUCAACACUUUAAGUUGUUAUUUAUUAAAUUAUUAUUAAGUUGUGAAUGGACUGUGUGUUUGGCAUGCGUUUUUUAAUAAAAAAUUGCAUACUUUACCUCCAAUUGUCAUGGUAAGGACAACAUUAUUGUUUUUUAGUCUUGGAACCUAUUUUAUUGGACUCCUUGACCCCAAAUAUGUACACGUUGAUACCAAAUUUGUCAUUAUAGCUAUAACAGAAGCAAAGAUAUGUGCCUCUCAAGUAUGGUCGGCGGCCAUUUUAAAAAAAUGUGCAUAUAUAAGAUACAAAAUGUGAUCUCACUUGUGUCUUAGGAUACAUUUUUUUCUAUGGCCCUAAGGUACUUCCAUACCAAAGGGGACAUUUGUAUCAUGACUUGAAGUCAAAAGUCACUUAACCUCCCUACUAUUAGGAGGAUUGGCAGAAAUGGAAUCCACCACUAAGCUCCAGGAUAAUUAGAAUCUGAUUCUCA